CAUUGUAUGUGCCUGUUGAGCUACAAGGGAAGCUAAUGUAAACUGGCAAAUUAUAAAAGGCACAGUGACAACUAAUCUUUUCUUUGACAGUGUCCAUGGAAAAUGCUGGAAAGAAGCGGAAAAGGAAGCGAUUGAAUCGGGCAUCCCCCCAAGGCCCCAGAAACAGAACUGUGAAGCAAUUUUGGCAUAGUGACUGCACAGAGUGUUGCAACUCGCAUGUUCAUCACGUGACACACACUGGCCCAAAAACCCUGUUUCCUAUACAUCUUCAUUGGAAUAGGAGUGGCAGGAAAAUGGGAGCCAACAGGAAGUCAGCCGGCUCAACCAUCAGAAAUCUCAGACGUGCAUGCUCGUGGCCUGAGAAGGACGCUGGUGAACAUGCUGUAUGGAGCCAAAAACGCAGAAGUGUGAUGAAGCCCGCAG